rnacentral:rRNA from 1 species
AUUGAACGCUGGCGGCAUGCCUUACACAUGCAAGUCGAACGGUAACGCGGGGCAACCUGGCGACGAGUGGCGAACGGGUGAGUAAUGCAUCGGAACGUGCCCAGUUGUGGGGGAUAACUGCUCGAAAGAGCAGCUAAUACCGCAUACGACCUGAGGGUGAAAGCGGGGGAUCGCAAGACCUCGCGCAAUUGGAGCGGCCGAUGUCGGAUUAGCUAGUUGGUGGGGGAAAGGCCCACCAAGGCGACGAUCCGUAGCUGGUCUGAGAGGACGACCAGCCACACUGGGACUGAGACACGGCCCAGACUCCUACGGGAGGCAGCAGUGGGGAAUUUUGGACAAUGGACGCAAGUCUGAUCCAGCCAUGCCGCGUGCGGGAAGAAGGCCUUCGGGUUGUAAACCGCUUUUGUCAGGGAAGAAAUCUUCUGGGUUAAUACCUCGGGAGGAUGACGGUACCUGAAGAAUAAGCACCGGCUAACUACGUGCCAGCCGCCGCCGUAAGAC